GUUUACGAAAACAUGAAUCAUAUAAAGAGUUACAAGACCCGGAAAAUAAGUGCACAAUCUGCACAUUUAUAAGUUGAUUGCAUUUAAUUAAUAUUGCAUUCUUUCAUUUGCAAAAAUAUCUAUUGAAUCAAUUUGAUGAAUUCUCUAAUACAUCAAUCCGAAUUUUUAGGCGUUUUUUUCCCCCUCUAGAUAGUUAAUAGAUAAAUUGCAUUUUUUUCCUUUAAAAAAAACAAAAAACUAAACAGUACCGAACUAAAAAAAGGGUGGAUUCUUUUCUCCUUGGUUUUCUCGGCGACCAAACAGAAGACAGAGAAAAUGGAAAAUACCGUGCUACCGAUGCCGACGGA
rnacentral:misc_RNA from 1 species